UUGAAGUAUUUAUUGUAGUAUUAUCUUUACUUUUGUUUUAUCUGUCAGGUAAGUACCUGUAUGUCCCUGAGAAGAAUGGAGAGUGUUUCCGUAGGGUUGUGACCGAUGAAGAGGAGAAGACUGCCAUUCGCAAUGAAGUUCACACAGGACACUUUGGGAUGAAGAGAAUGAUGGGGAAAAUCAUUCAACGAUUUUACUGGAAAGGGAUUGUAAAGGACGUGGAGCAAUGGAUCCUGAAUUGUGAAGCAUGCCAGAGAUUUGAGAGGGUGAAGACUGUUGCCCCAGAACUGAAGCCAAUCAAAGUUGUUUCUCCAUGGUACAUGAUCGGUUGUAUCACUGCUGCAGUACAGUGGAAAGACAGUUUGGAUCGUGUGGCCACAUGUACAGCAGCAGCAGGGAUGUAGUGACUGUGGACUGUUUACCAUCGCAAACAGCCUCGCACUCUGCAUGGGUGAAGAGCCAGGUAAGUUAUGUUAUGAUCAAAAGCAAAUUCGUGAUCAUCUUUUUUCUUGUUUUGUAGCUGGAUCUCUUACUCCUUUCCCGAGCUGUGAGAGAACUCCCCUCCCAGAGGUACAUUUCUGUGAUGUGGAGGUCUACUGCACAUGCAGGAGACCAUACAGGAUUGGA